rnacentral:rRNA from 1 species
UGGGGAAUCUUAGACAAUGGGCGCAAGCCUGAUCUAGCCAUGCCGCGUGAGUGAUGAAGGCCUUAGGGUCGUAAAGCUCUUUCGCCAGGGAUGAUAAUGACAGUACCUGGUAAAGAAACCCCGGCUAACUCCGUGCCAGCAGCCGCGGUAAUACGGAGGGGGUUAGCGUUGUUCGGAAUUACUGGGCGUAAAGCGCACGUAGGCGGAUCAGAAAGUAUAGGGUGAAAUCCCAGGGCUCAACCCUGGAACUGCCUUAUAAACUCCUGGUCUUGAGUUCGAGAGAGGUGAGUGGAAUUCCAAGUGUAGAGGUGAAAUUCGUAGAUAUUUGGAGGAACACCAGUGGCGAAGGCGGCUCACUGGCUCGAUACUGACGCUGAGGUGCGAAAGUGUGGGGAGCAAACAGGAUUAGAUACCCUGGUAGUCCACACCGUAAACGAUGAAUGCCAGUCGUCGGCAAGUAUACUUGUCGGUGACACACCUAACGGAUUAAGCAUUCCGCCUGGGGAGUACGGUCGCAAGAUUAAA